GGCAGCAUGACUAAGCACAGGCCACAGAGCACGACCCUUGGCGCUAAAGGAAGAGACCCAACAUGGAGUCAGCAUUUAGGGACCAUCGGUGAGAACUACUUCUAAGCUAAAAAUGUCUAGCACCUGAAAAAAAAAUCAAGACGGGUUCUCUCUGGAUACAAGAGGACAGGAUUUAAGCUCUGUCUCUUACUUGCCACGUGGCCCUCAAUUUGUUCUGACAUGCUUUCUCUAAGAACACAGACAAUGCAGAUAUAACACCUGGAUCUGUGAGUUAAUUGCUACCUCGGCCGCCACCAAGAGACUUUCUAAGUGGCCAAGCACAAGGAUCUUCUGUUUCUUAUCCAAGUGCCUUAUUUCAUCAAAGCCCCAAGUCCAUGAAUUGACCCUUAACUAUGAAUUCCUGCUUCACUUCUAUUUCACUUGGCCAUUUUAGAGCAAGAAAGAGCCAGAAUUAGGUGUCAGCCAGCAGGUGUGGCUUAUAAUUCAUAUUUUUUGAAGAAAAAUCUGUCUAAGCUGGUUUUAAGUUAUCUUGUUAGACAUUAAAACUGUGGGGGUGGGAGGGUCAGUGUUUUUACAUGCUUAAGCGUUGUUCAUUAAACUGAUUUGUUGAGAAGUUCAAAAGGUAAAAGAGAGCUAUGUUUGGAGUUUUAAAAUUUUACAGGUUUCCCUUCCAAAUGGUGAAAAGUGGAAUACAAUAUUAUUAUUAUUAUUUUUAUUCCACAGGCAGGUGUGAGCUUGAGCAUAUUAAGUUUCUUGGCUUUCUUUUGAUUUUAUAUAACGAGCCUUUUGUUGGACUUGAUUAUUACAGUGAUGGUCUCCCUCUCUGAUUCUGAUUAAACCAUGAAACCCCACAUACUCACUGAUAUUUGUCAUUUCGUUUUGGUUGGUAAGUGAGUUUUGGUGAUGAAACUGUGAAGCCACAAAUUCCCUGGAGCACUGGAAUGCAGUUAAAAGGAAACUACCCCAACUAGCAGAGUUUGGUUCAAUUUGAACCUGCGGCUUCACGCUCACUCACAGUUAAUAAAUGCUACCCAUUCAUCUAGCCCGGGGAAUGAGACUGGCGGCACCCACAUUCGACUGGCUGAAGAAUUCUCAGGAUGCUCCUAAAACCAAGCUGAGUUGUAUGGGGUCAACCUGGGCUUCUGCUGAGGAUCAGAGAAUGAGUAUUCUCAUAGGUAAGGGCCACUUGAGCAACUGACCCUAUUUAUGGUAGAGGUACUGGCCAGCUGGGACAUGAACUCACAGGCUUUAGUUAUGAAUCAGUUUUUAAAAGACUAUCACAACUGGGUUGAAGGUGUUCAAACUGAACUAUUAUUUUUAGUUUCUGCAUUGCUUGGGUUUGUCCAGAAUGAAAGUACUUCUGGUGACGUUCCAUACCAGAAAGAGGACUGUUUAGAGGUGUGAACCAUUCAGGUGUGGACUCAGGUUAGGAAAGUUCUCCAGGUCAUAAGCUGUUUUUCCUAAAGGCAGGACAUGUUCCCAGGUGCCAGCGGUGUAAGAUUUGUGUUCUGUCUUACCCCAUCUCUGCAGUGGUUGACAGUAUUGAUUGCUUCUUCUUUGAAAAACUCCCUUGGCUUUGGUGACAGAACUCUCUCCUGGCUUUUCUCUUACCUCUCUGGCCUCUCCUUCUCACUCUUCCUUGUAGGCUUUUUGCCCCUUUGCUCAUCUGUUAACUGUGAUCUCUUGGGGGUUCUGUCUUUGGUUCUCACCUCUUCUGUACAUUGUCCUUGGUGAGAUUUCUGGGAGACCUUUUUCGUCAACACACUGUGUCUUCCUGCCUCAGGGCCUUUGCUCAUGGUUUUCUCUGCUUACAGUGUUCUUUCCCCAGAGAUGGGGAUACCUGACUUAUUUCUUUAUUUAGUUCUCUACUCAAAUUGUCAACUUUCAAAUGAAGCUUCCCUGGUUAUCCAUAGAAAAUAGCAGGUACCCAGUCAGGGUCGGGACUAGGGUAAGGCAAGCGAGGCGCCCAGGGCACACAGUUUAAGGAGGUAAGUUCAGAUCAGCAUCUGAGACCGUGUGCCUCCUUAUAGUUGGUACUCUGGGCAUCCUGCUUACCUCAUCUAUCCUGACCCUGUACCUGUACUCAGUCACUCUCUAGACUCUUAAUUUAGUUUAUCUUACUUUACAGAUGUUUUAUAACUAACAUAU